AGUGGCGGACGGGUGAGUAACGCGUGGGUAACCUUCCUUGUACUGGGGGACAACAGUUAGAAAUGACUGCUAAUACCGCAUAAGCGUACAGUAUCGCAUGAUACAGUGUGAAAAACUCCGGUGGUACAAGAUGGACCCGCGUCUGAUUAGCUAGUUGGUAAGGUAACGGCUUACCAAGGCGACGAUCAGUAGCCGACCUGAGAGGGUGACCGGCCACAUUGGGACUGAGACACGGCCCAA
rnacentral:rRNA from 1 species